UUUGGGUCUUCGGGUGUUGGU
rnacentral:siRNA from 1 species